AACAGAAGAGAUUCUUGUGUCCUAGAGACCAAAGAAAGAAUCAGCAGGAAUGCCCAGGGUGAAUGAUGGAUUGCAGAGCCUGGCUGGCACAUUUUGUGCCCUCCCCGCCUCCAAAUUGCCUCAGUUACAAAUCGGAAGGCAGGCUUGGUGACCAGGAGGACUGGCAAGCACAUUUUAAAGUCCCAUGCUGUGGAGUUGAUCCAUCUCAACUUGAGAAAGAAAGAUGCUGAGAUGUGGAAGACCCUGUACUCAUGGCUGGCAAGUCAUGACCACUUAGCAGUCCAUGCACUUUGUAAUCUGCUGUAUUUUUGACAAAACUGAGACAG